AAAUUUAAAAUUAUUAUUUUUAUUAUAAUUUAAAUUAUUUUAAUAAAAAUAAUUUUAUUAGUUAAUUUUGUUUUAGUAUUUUUUAAAGAAUAAAUUUUUUUAAUUAUAAUUAAAUAGUAUUGUGAAAGAAUUUUUGAAAUAUUUUAUUUAUAUUAUUAAAUAAUAUAUAUUUUUAAAAAAGUAAAUUUAAUUUAUUGUAUCUUGUGUAUCAGAGUUUAUUAAAUAAAUAGUAUUUAAUAAUAUUUUUCUCAAAUUUAAAAGAUUUAUUUUAUUAUAAUUUUUUUUGUGGAAUAAAAAUUAUUAAUAUUAAAAUAGUAAUGAAAUGUUAUUCGUUUUUAAAGUUAUUUAGUUUUUUAAUAAAUGAAUUUAAUUCAGAUAUUAUAUUUAAAAUUUUAUUUUUUAUUAUAAUUUUUUUUAAUAUUAAUAUUUUAGGGGAUAAGCUUUAAAAUAAAUUUUUAUAAUUUAUAUGUAUAUUAUAUAUAUAUAUAUAUAUAUAUGCUUAGAAAUAGUUUUUUUUUAAAAAAUGUUAUAAUUUAUAUUUAAAUUAGUAUAAAAUUUUAAUUUAAUAAAAUUUAAUUUUUUAUUAAAAUAAAUUAUUUAAUAAUUAAUUAUUUGUAAUAAUGAUAAAAUUAGUAAAAUUAUAUUUGUUUAAAAAUUAUUUAAAUUUUGUUAGUUUAAGUUAAGGAAUUCGGCAAAUAUUAUAUUCACCUGUUUAACAAAAACAUGUCUUUUUGAAUUUAAUUUAAAGUCUAAUCUGCUCUAUGAAUGAUAAAUUUUAAUGGCCGCAGUAUUUUGACUGUGCAAAGGUAGCAUAAUAAUUAGUCUUUUAAUUAAGGACUGGAAUGAAUGAUUGAAUGAGAUAUAUACUGUCUAUAUUUAAAUAUUAAUUUAAUUUAAUUUUUAAGUUAAAAAGCUUAAAUUUUUUUAAAGGACGAGAAGACCCUAUAGAGUUUCAUAAUUAUUUUAAUUUUAAAAUUUAAUUUAUUUUAAUAUUUUAUUAAUUAUUUUGUUGGGGCGAUAGGAAAAUUAAAUUAACUUUUUUGAUUUAUUAUUUACAUUGAUAUAUGAUUUUUUGAUCCUAUUAUAUAGAUUAACAGGUUAAAUUACCUUAGGGAUAACAGCGUAAUUUUUUUUAGAGUUCUUAUCAAUAAAAAAGAUUGCGACCUCGAUGUUGGAUUAAAAUUUAUUUUAGGUGAAGAAGCUUAAUAAUUAGGUCUGUUCGACCUUUAAAAUUUUACAUGAUCUGAGUUCAAACCGGUGUAAGCCAGGUUGGUUUCUAUCCUUAAAUUUUAAAAAAGUUUUUAGUACGAAAGGACCAAAAUUUUAAAAUAAUUUUUAAUAAGUAGUUGAUUUUUAUUAAAUUUUAAAAAUUAAAACAAAUUUGUUAUUAAAUU
rnacentral:rRNA from 1 species